GACGAACGCUGGCGGCGUGCUUAACACAUGCAAGUCGAACGGAAAGGCCCUGCUUGCAGGGUACUCGAGUGGCGAACGGGUGAGUAACACGUGGGUGAUCUGCCCUGCACUUCGGGAUAAGCUUGGGAAACUGGGUCUAAUACCGGAUAGGAGCCAUCUUUAGUGUGGGGGUUGGAAAGUUUUUUCGGUGUAGGAUGAGCUCGCGGCCUAUCAGCUUGUUGGUGGGGUAAUGGCCUACCAAGGCGGCGACGGGUAGCCGGCCUGAGAGGGUGUACGGCCACAUUGGGACUGAGAUACGGCCCAGACUCCUACGGGAGGCAGCAGUGGGGAAUAUUGCACAAUGGGAGCAAGCCUGAUGCAGCGACGCCGCGUGGGGGAUGAAGGCCUUCGGGUUGUAAACUCCUUUCGCUAGGGACGAAGCGUUGUUGUGACGGUACCUAGAUAAGAAGCACCGGCUAACUACGUG
rnacentral:rRNA from 1 species